UACGUAGGUGGCAAGCGUUGUUCGGAAUUACUGGGCGUAAAGGGUGCGUAGGCGGCUUUCUAAGUCGGAUGUGAAAACUCCGGGCUCAACCCGGAGACGCCACCCGAUACUGUCGUGACUGGAGUCCGGUAGGGGAGUGGGGAAUUCCUGGGUGUAGCGGUGAAAUGCGCAGAUAUCAGGAGGAACACCGGUGGCGAAGGCGCCACUCUGGGCCGGUACUGACGCUGAGGAGCGAAAGCGUGGGUAGCAACAGG
rnacentral:rRNA from 1 species